CUACAAAUCAUUCAUCUAUAGCAAAUAUGUUGUUCUAUUUGGAUCCCUCAAUAGUCCCAGAGCAUUUAAGUCCAAACUAUUUGGAAGCUAAGAUGGAUAAGGGGAAGGAGAAAAUUGAAGGUGGUGGUGAUCCAUCAAAACCUUUGGUAAAUGCAGAUGACGUUCCUUUGAUACUGUUCCUAAAGCUCUUGAAUCGACCUCUUUUUUUACGCAGCAAUGCACACCUUGAGCAGGUUAUGGGAUUGCUUCAAGUAGUAAUUUA
rnacentral:misc_RNA from 1 species